AAUGGAGCGGCGAGGGGCCGCGCGGACGGGGGAGGCCCCAGGGGCGGGGACGAGGCGGGGGCUGCCCCGAGGGCAGACGAGGCCAGCGGGGAAAAGGGUGAGGGCUGCCGGGCGCCGCGUCGCGGGCUGGGUCCGUCCCGGACGUGACCGGAGGCGUGGGGGACGCGGCCGAAGGUCCCCAAGGGUCCGACGAAAAGAGGCCAGAGGGUUUCACUACGUAGUUCAGGCUGACUUCGAACUAGAAGCGAUUCUCCUGCCUCAGCCUCCCCGGCGCUGGGAUUACAGGAGUGCGCCACCCCGCCCGGCUGUGCCUAUUUAUUUAUUUUUGGUACCGGGGAUCGAACUCGGGACCUUGAGCUUGCGAGGCAGGCGGCAGAACCACUGAGCUAAAUCCCCCACCCCGGCUAUGCCUUUUGACUUUGUAUUUGGAGUGUGUCGACUUCACCCAGGUUCCAAAGCACUUCCCUUCCCCAACUCAACUCGGGCCGCCCAGAGUUCGUACUCCCGCAGUCGGGCGGCAGUCGGUGGGUUAUGUUGACAUUUUAGGAAAGCGCCACAGAUGGAGUUGCUGGGGCCUUUUGCUUUCAGUUGGUCUGUUCUUGGGAAGAGAUUCGUCUGAGGUCGGCCUCCGUCAGCCGCAGGUGUCCAGCCCUGCGUAUUCGUGCUGUGCAGUCAGGUAAACCACUCUCUCCCUGCAGGAAAGCGCACCGGGGGCGAACCGGUCACCGUUCAGGGACGCGGGCGGGGGAGGCUGGAGACCUGGCCUCCCGGGAGGGGCGAGGUUCCCUCGAGAGGAGAGCCGAGCAGCGCGCGCUCCCUGCGGGGCCCAGGUGCGCGCGAGGCGGGGCGCGGGCGAGACUGGAUCCCUCGCUCCCCGAACUGCGGGUGUGGAGUCGCCGCUCCGCCCCGCCCUGGCGCAGGUAUCUCGCUGCCACCCGCCUUGGCUCUGGGCGUCGCGGGGGCAGGGACUGGGGAACUGGGCGCGGAGCGAGGGCGGGAGAGACCUGGAAAAACCACCCAGAUUGCUUUGCAGUGGGCGAGGCCGCCUGGCAGAGCCGGUUCUCCCGAGCCGCCUCCCCGCGGGUGCCUUCGGCGCGGCUCGGGGAGCCCGGCUCGGCCCGGCACGGGGCUCCGUCCGGGUCCCCAGCGGGGCCGGAAGCCCGACGCCAGGCACCGCCGCUGCAGAGAAAGGGAUUAAACAGUUCCGAAACUUGGCCCUUGCAGCGCUGGGUGUUGUGUUGGGAUCCUUCAUUUCUGCAGCGCCUUUGGACUUAGCAAAUCUACGAGUUUACGGGGGAUUCCGCGGCAGCAUUGGCCGUGUUAGAAUCCGGAGCCUCCCAGCUGCGUCUGCCUAGAAACACUCUGCCUCUUCUUUUGUAUUCUCAAUAAUUCACCUGAGUACAGUAGAUCCUUGGUUUCUGAUUUGUGUUUUGUUUUGUUUAAUUCGUCCGACAAGAUAGGGAUUUUUUGGUGUAUCCUCAGGGCUUGGAAUACAGCCUGACAUAUACUGUGCACUCAACAAAUACUUGUUGAAUGGCUGUAAUAACACCCACCCCUUUGUGCGGCUCUUUGUCUUCGAAACCGAGGGCAGAGUUCAUCCCUGCAAAGGUGAGAUCCUCAACACAAGAGUAAGGGUAAUUAAAGGCUCAAAUGUUUGUAAAGAGUAGGUACUGAUUCUCAUUAAACUUUUAUUAAAUUAAACUUGUCAAGGGAAAGAACGUCAAGGGCGGGAAAAAAUUGUAUGAAAUACAAGUGAAUUGGUUCUGGAACCAAAAAAAAAAAAAAAGUCUUCCUGCUUAUCGCCAGCACGGACUUUAGAAGUCCAAAGUGAGAAUAAUCAGGAGGAAGUGACUGGGAGGGACCUGAAGAGUGAGCCCAUUCAAGUCCCGCUCAACAUCACACCUAAACCCCAAACAAAGCUGAUUUUUUUAAAGUAGGCGGGACCCAAUUGAGAAACCGGAUACAAAGUAACUGCCCUGUGGUAUGGAAGCCUUAAGGUCCUGAAAGGCGGAUUGAGACCUGUUCCUGUUUAAAGCAAUUGAAGAGAAACCACCAGGACCAAAAAAAGGUUUUUUGGUUUGUUUUCAUGGGAAUUAGUGGAAUAUUAGGCAAAAUUUGAAUAAGGUCUGCAGAUUAGAUAGUAGUGUUGUAUUUGUUAAUUUCUCCGUUGUUGUAGUCCUGGGGUUAGGCAGGAGAAAGCCAUUGUCUUAAGGAAAAUCUACCAAGUGUUUAGAGGUGAGGAGGGAUCAUGUCUAUAAAUUACUCUCAAAAGGCUCAGACAAAAUUAUAUAUUUAGAGGGCGGGGGAAAUAGCUCAGUGGUAGAGUGCUGCUUGCCUAGCAGGUGCAAGUUCCUGGGUUCAAUACACACACACACACACACACGCAAAGAAUAAUAAAGCAACUAGUAAAAUGUUCACACUAGAGAAUCUGGGUAGGGGAGGUCCCCCCCACCUUUUGGGAAUUGAACCCAGG
rnacentral:lncRNA from 1 species